GGAUUAGAUACCCUGGUAGUCCACGCCGUAAACGAUGGUCACUAGCUGUUUGGUUUUCGGACUGAGUGGCUAAGCGAAAGUGAUAAGUGACCCACCUGGGGAGUACGUUCGCAAGAAUGAAACUCAAAGGAAUUGACGGGGGCCCGCACAAGCGGUGGAGCAUGUGGUUUAAUUCGAUGAUACGCGAGGAACCUUACCAGGGCUUAAAUGUAGUUUGACAGGGGUAGAGAUACCUUUUUCUUCGGACAGAUUACAAGGUGCUGCAUGGUUGUCGUCAGCUCGUGCCG
rnacentral:rRNA from 1 species